CAAGAGAAAAAGUGUGGAAAAUCAAGGAAAACAAGUGAAAAAGGUGGUGAGUCCUCCGAUAAAGGCAAAGGAAUUGCAUCUGAGGACCAAUAGUCAAAGUACUUCGAAAAUUCGCACUCUAGACAUUGCUCAGAUUAGACUGUAGAUAGCUGAUCUCAUCGAGGACUA